rnacentral:rRNA from 1 species
GACGAACCGUGCGAACGUUAUUCGGAAUCACUGGGCUUAAAGGGCGCGUAGGCGGGCGAUCAAGUCAGGGGUGAAAGCCCCCAGCUCAACUGGGGAAGUGCCUUUGAUACUGGUCGUCUCGAGGGGGAUAGGGGCGUGCGGAACUUCCGGUGGAGCGGUGAAAUGCGUAGAUAUCGGAAGGAACACCGGUGGCGAAAGCGGCGCGCUGGAUCCCUUCUGACGCUGAGGCGCGAAAGCCAGGGGAGCGAACGGG